AAGAGUUCAUUUUCUUCUGGCGGUGAGACAGACUUCAGGCACAUCACCCUUAUCCAGGGAUACUGGUUGUAACAGAUCCAGGGCCCGCCCAUUCCAGGAGGCUCUCAUCUUCACCUGACCAAUUCCAUCUGCAAUGCCCCUAUUUUCAAAUAAGGACAUAAUCUGAGAAGAGGUCACUACUUUACCCAAGAUUGAGCAGCACUGUGAAAGCCUUCAGGAUGAAGGAACUUGAACAUAUCACCUAUAACACACAGUUCCAGACCCACUGAGCACGUGUGAUUGUCAGUAUCCUCUCACAUCCAGAUUAACUACAGCGCUCCUUGCACUCGUUUGCCAGAACU